rnacentral:lncRNA from 1 species
UGUUACCCCUCACAAGAAGAAACAAAUCACAGUAAAGGAGAAAAAAAGAGAAGCAAAGAAAAUUGCAACCCUCAAAAUCGGAAAGGACAAAAGAGAAAAAGGAAAAUGGUGGACCGCGCAUAGCAAAAGAACAUGCUCUAAAUACUACCUAUUAUCCAAAGUUACCAAGUUUCAAAAAAAAAAAAAAUACUACCUAUUAUCCUACAC